UUAGUCGUUGACACAAGUCGUUCCUGGUGGAGAAUUGUUGAGGUCAGUGGCUGAUAGCGCGGGCGAACAGCCUACAUUCUUCAUGGGGGAAAUAACCAGACGAACAAGCGGGAUUUUGACGGCAGGUGCUUGUGAGACCUCCAGACCAGAUACCCACAUCAUUUCAGCUGGCUCCUUUUGAUGUAAAGCUGAAGAGCGUCAUCGUCUCCCAAUGGAGGAGCCCAGACAACUGUCAUUUCAGUGCGACGGUGAGCCAACAUGCACAACACCAAGACCCUGAAACUGUAGCAGCUGCAUGGAAUUCAGCCAUCGUUCAUUUUUAUUACUUUCGCUUGAGCUUUUCUGGAUUGUUACACGUCAAAAUGUCUUAUGUGAGAAACACCUAGCACGUGCCAGCUGUAGCAACCGGUGGAUUGUGAUUUUACAUGCAAAUUUAAAAGACAGUCUGGGUUUUGCUAUUAGCUCCAACAUAUCUUAUCGAAAUGAAUUGAGAUUCAAGUGCGGACUGUAAGAUGUAAUUUGAUGGUGCACGUAGAAACUGUGGUCCUUCUACAUAUGUCUUCCUAGAAUAACAACAGUUCCUACAUUAUUCAACACAGGUGCAGUGGUGAAGGAAGUAUUUAGAUCUUUUACGUAAGCAAAAUCCACAAUACUGAAAUAUAAAAACACUCUGAUACCUUAAUGUCUAGGUAGCAUUUCAUUGUUGUAGUUGGCCAAGGUGGAGCUAAUUUUAACUAUUUUACAUACUUUUGGAUAGUUUAAUCUAUAGCAGUGCAUCAUACUUUAAAAGCUGGUGUUUUUUAUGAUAACUCUUAUUCUGCAAAGUAACUAUAGCUCUCAAAUGAAUGCGAUGAAGUAAAAGGACAGUAUUUUCGCUGGAAAUGUAGCAAGGCAGAAGUAUAAAGUAGCAUGAAAGGGAAAUACUCAAGUAAUGAAUGACAACCUCAGAAUUAUACUUGAGUGAAGGUAUUCCAUUACUCUCUAACAAUGGCAGUCCAAUGUACAGUAUUAGGACCGUUUUAUUUUUAUGCUUUACUCCAGCACAUUGGAUUUGAAAUUAAACAGUGAGUGUGUGGUUAAAGUGCUGACUUUCAGUGGGGGUUUGAGGGUUUUUAAAUCUAAAUUCUGCAGAAACUGUAGCGAUUUUUGUACUUACCCCCAAGGGGUAAAAGGCCUACAGUCUGUACCCUUCACCCUACAUGGAUGCAAAUACCUGAACACCCUUAAAGCUGAAACGUCUGCAUUUAAACAUGGUUAAAGAUAUAAUUGUUCUAAUAAAUACAGCCUGUACUGUACAAAUAAGAUUAUAAGAUAUAGUACAUUGCAGGGCCAUGUAGUAUUGUUGCCAUUAUUUAAGUAUAUUUCAAUACUUCUUUCACCUGUAUGAGUAGCAUGGAUGCCUAUUUCAAUGUCCCCACUACUCACUCUUUCUGUCUGCGCGUUUCUAUCCAGAAGGCUUUGCUUCAAUCUUUUUUCCUCUGCUCACCGCCCCCCCUCCCCACUUCUCCUCUCCUCCUUACAUAAGGACUGCCCUAUUUUUUCAGGGACCAGUAAGAGGUAGGAAUAAAGGGAGUGAGUGGGUGAGGAAGAGGUGCUGGUGGAGGGUGAGAUCCAAUGAGGAGAGAGAGAAGAGAUAUGGGGGUAGAAGAGAGGACUUUGUGUACACUGCACACAUCGGGAAGACACAAACCUGCAUUAGUCCCCGUCAUCCUCCUCACCUCACUGGCCUUCUCUGCCCACACACACUCCUCACCCUUUUUCUUUUGCCGUUGUGCUCCUCCCGCUAUCCAUCUCCUUUCUCUGCAUGCUCGCUCUACCUAACUCACCCCUUUGCUCUGCAUGAAUCCGAUGUUGGCAAUCUUUGAUAUCACCUUCCCUCCGACAGCUUGACAAACCCCCAAUCCUCCCUCCUCCUCCGCCUGUGUUACAUGCCGACCCAUUCAUACAUGUCAGAGAGAAAUAUUACUACAGUACAGUUAUUUGACUUGGGAUAUCAACGCUUUACGUACAACUUUGAAAUAAAUGCUGCUUACACAGUCAUACAUCAGGAAUAGCGAUCUAAUAAUAUAACUCUGACAGGGGUAAAUGAUCUGAGAACUUCUUCCACCACUGCUGAAUUAUGUUUUACUGGUUUGUAAUAAAAAUUCAAACCCUUACGGUUGAAUACAACUGUAAGGUAUACAUGAACAUUUAACUCUGUUUUACACUGAUUUCAUCCUCUGCACUCCUACAACAAUACAGUUACAAUAUACAGUCCUGUUUGAAGUUACUGGCAUUAGG